ACUAUCGCUAGCUACAGUAUUCUGUCAAAAUUUUCUUCCGUAAAAUCUUAUUGUCAUCUACCCAAAAUAUAAUUUAUAUCUCAUUUUCUCAUGCAGAGAUAAUCAAAUGAAACUCAUCAUCAAUAUCAUCUUUCCAAACAUAUCCAUUGUUUUCAUGUUCACUUUUCUUAUUACUAGUUAAUGGUAUUCAUAUCAUAUAUCAAAAGAAAAUGUUUAAAGGUGCCUAUCCCA
rnacentral:lncRNA from 1 species